rnacentral:rRNA from 1 species
UUAGGAGACCAGCUUAGUAGUGUGCUCCCUUCUCUUCAUAGGUUUCCCCUGCCGGAUCUUGCCGGCGGCGAGUCCAUACUAGGCAACGAACCCACUCAAACUCUAGUCUGCACGCCCGCUGAGUCCAGCAUCGAUGAUGCGGGUGAUGCAGCGCUGACAGUACAACUAGAUGUAAACAGUACUUGCGAGGAUGCGAUCCUGUCGGCGCCGAAAUCAGAGCAAUCAACUGGCAAAGACGAUCCUCAGAAGCCUAGAUUGACCAGGAGAUCAGUGCAGGGCGAUGGAAGUAGCAAUAGAGAAAGUGAUGCCAGACACGACUCACCGUUGAUGCUAGUGGCACGUGCAAUUGGUCAUUUCAUGGGGCUAAAAGCUCCAGAACAAAAACAAAAGCCUGGUCGACCAAUCACCAGCAGGAGAGUUAUUUGCCCAAAACCACCACAUUAUGAGCUAGGGUAA